AAGUAUUUCACAGCCAAGAUUCUAUUCGGGGUCUUAUAUGGAAGACAAAGAUUUAUGAUAGACUAAAAUUGCAUUUAUGGAGGAUAGCAGCAAAUGUCCUCCCAACAAAAGAACUAUCUAAAGUGGAAGAAGAGAGCAGCCUCCGCCUCUUUACAAACUGCCCUGGGGUGCGUGCUAUCUGGUUUAAUAGUCUUCGGGGUCUGACACCUAAGUGCUGAAACCUCAGCUCUCCAGAUAUGUUUAUUCAAACCCUUUCAUCUCUCUCUUAUGAGGUGGAUUCAAAGUUGAUUCUGUUUGGAGCUAUGGUUUGGGAUGUUAUAUGGAAGGCUAGGAAUCAAGCUCAAUUUGAAGAUACUUGGAAAAGCUUUGGGUGGUGGAGUGAUACCUGUAAGUGCAGUGCUUGCAGACAAAGAUGUAAUGCUUUGUAUCCAACCCGGAGAGCAUUAAAGUACCUUUGGGGGAAAUCCAUUGGCCAGUGCAGUUGCCAUCGCCUAACUAGAUGUCAUCAAAGAUGAGAGACUUGUUGAGACUUGAGAGGUAUCAAAUCCACUGCCUAAUGUUGUAUCAUGAGAUGAUAUAGACAAGUAGGACAAUAACAGCAACGUUAUUCCAUGAUAUAAUUUUUAUUUUCUUUAGUGGCUUAAUUAUCUGGAGAUUCAGAGAGUAUUAAAAUUUCUUACUAUAAUACUUAAAACUUGAUUUUCUAUUUAGCAAAAAGGAUUGUUGUGCUAAUAUAUUUAUACAAGAAUGAUGCAUUUGAUGAUUAAUGGAGUUUUAUCCACUUCUCACUUCGGAUUAUAUUCAUCCUGACAUUUUAAAGUAUCUGACUAAAUUGCAUUUGUUGUUUAUCUAAGAACCACAGAAGGAGAAAGGAAAGGAGAAAGCAGUAGUCAGCUGCAGAGAGCUUUCACAAGGCUCUAAAAAAGCCAAUUUAAAAUGUGGUGGAACAACAAUUUCAUCUGUAUUAUGGUUUGGAAAAUAAUACUUGGUUGUACUUUAUGCAAUACCUUCUCUGAAAUUUCCUUUUAAAACUAAAGCCCAAAGGUUUUAGUAGAGCUUCUAUCUUUCAAUUCAAUUGGAUUACAAGUUGGGGUUUUCAUAAAUAGAGUUUACAUAAAUUUAGGCUUUGAAAUAACUAUGCUUUUUUCUCCCAGAUUCAUCAUGUAUAUCUAUGGCUACCUUCAUUAUUUUUUUUUCUUUGAUUUUUUAUCCCCAUUUGAUGCAUAAAUUGUCUCUUGAUAUUUCUCAGUUCUAUAGAUAUGCCCAACUGGGACAGGAGUUAAGGCACCAUCUACUUAAGAUUCAGCAGCAAUACCCAAACUACAUACGAGAAGUUCGAGGUAGAGGUUUGUUCAAUGCUGUGGAGCUCAACAGCAAAAAUCUGUGCACUAUUUCUGCAUAUGAUAUCUGCCUACAGUUAAAGGAGAGAGUUCUUGCUAAGCCCACCCAUGAUACUAUCAUCCGAUUAACUCCCCCACUCUCAAUAAGUUUGGAUGAGCUCCAAGAAGCCUCAAAGGCACUGAGUGAUGUUCUUGAGCAUGAUCUACCAAAGAUGCAGAAAGCAAAGCCAGAGCAUGUCUCCCCAACUAGUUCUAUCAUAUGUACCGUUGUAUCGAAUAACAAGCACAUUACUUCUUAAGGCAAUCAGUUGCUGAAAUUGAUAUCUUAUACUUUAGCAUGGAUUUUCAAAAAAGCUCUCUCCUCUAAUUGUAGCUUUCUUUUUUUAAUCUUUUUAAUAGAAUUAGGAUACUAAUCUCAAUCUGGAUAUUUUUUUUUU